rnacentral:snoRNA from 1 species
UGGCGGCAGAGGGCCCCGAAGGGGGCGCCGUGAAGCGCCGCAGUCGGUCCCCCUGUCACA